rnacentral:rRNA from 1 species
CCUACGGGUGGCAGCAGUGGGGAAUAUUGCACAAUGGGGGAAACCCUGAUGCAGCGACGCCGCGUGAGUGAAGAAGUAUUUCGGUAUGUAAAGCUCUAUCAGCAGGGAAGAAAAUGACGGUACCUGAUUAAGAAUUCCCGGCUAACUACGUGCCAGCAGCCGCCGUAAUACGUAGGGGGCAAGCUUUAUCCGGAGUUACUGGGUGUAAAGGGAGAGUAGACGGCAGAACAAGUCUGGAGUGAAAUGCCGGGGCUUAACCCCGGAACUGCUUGGUAAACUGUGCAGCUAGAGUGCAGGAGAGGGAAGUGGAAUUCCUAGUGUAGCGGUGAAAUGCGUAGAUAUUAGGAGGAACACCAGUGGCGAAGGCGGCUUACUGGACUGUAACUGACGCUGAGGUUCGAAAGCGUGGGGAGCAAACAGGAUUAGAUACCCUUGUAGUC